rnacentral:rRNA from 1 species
GACAGAGGGUGCAAACGUUGCUCGGAAUUACUGGGCGUAAAGCGCGUGUAGGCGGACUGGUGUGUCGGAUGUGAAAUCCCUGGGCUCAACCCAGGAACUGCAUUCGAAACUGCCAGCCUUGAGUGGUGGAGAGGGAAGUGGAAUUCCUGGUGUAGAGGUGAAAUGCGUAGAUAUUGGGAGGAACACCGGUGGCGAAGGCGGCUACCUGGACCGGUUCUGACGCUGAUGCGCGAAAGCGUGGGGAGCAAACAGG